GAAUUAACGGGAAAACAUUAUCUCCGGAGGGGGUUUGAGGGGUGAUUUUUCUCUCCGUCACCGGUGCCUCCGCGAGCGGACGGUGGGUAACGGCAGCGGGAGCGCGGCCGCUUCGCCAUUUCCUCCCCGCUUUGUCUUCCCAAGGACUCGGCCAGGCCAGGGGAUUUUAACGAUUAAAACCAAUUGAUCCGAUCCCGGAGCCAAGACCAAAACCGAUCAAACAAACAAAAAAAACCCCAAAGCGAAAGAGAAAAACCCGAUGCGCAAAUCGGUCCGAUAAACGGGUUGGAUUUGUGUUUUUUCCCCGUUUUGAAGGCUACGCGCUGCAUUUCCGAGCGACCUGCGGGUUUCGGCGUUGGAGACAAAUAAAUAAACAUCCAGAAAGAAGCAAAAGGCAGGAAGGGAGCAGGACACGGGCGUGUGGCUAAAUAAACGCGGAGUCGCAAGGGGACAAAGCGGGUGGGAAAAGGGAAGACGGGGAUGAUCCCCCCCAAACCGACACCCCCAGAAGAUUUUGCGGCGCUGGCGGAGGCAGCAGCUGGGGAAGAGCUGCACGGUUACGGGGUUAAACGGGAGGACAGAGGAGCCCUCGAAGGGGUCGUUACCGGCGGGACGGAGCGGGCUCUCCCGCGGCCGGCGGCGAAAACGGAGCGGCCGCAAACGAAAUCGGCCGCCGCCGACGCCCAUCGCCGCGGCGGCGGGGCGCGGGCAGCAGGCUUUGCUGUGGUCCCUUUGCCUCGUCACUGAAGUCCCAGGGACUCGCCGGUGCCACCUGCUCUCUGGAUCGAUGACCUCAGCUUGCUCCCAGCCUCCAGGGAUGAUCCGACUUGCCGUGGUCCGUGCAGGUAAACCCGACCGGGCUGCGGCCGUGGGGGUCUCAGACCAGCCCGGCUCUCCAGUGGCCACCUCUGCCCCUUCCUUGCCCGGAUAAAGGACAACGGAGACGCGAGAGGAUGGUGGCUGGGAGCCCAGGGAUCCGGGCUGGGAGCGGGAUUUGCUCCACGAUUAAGAGCCUGGCUUGAUUCGGCUGUCGCUUUUUCUCGCUUGUGCUCAAAGCUGCUUUCGCUAAGCCGCUUGCUGAGCAAUCGCUCUUGAUUCAUCUUCCCAAUUUUGUCUGCGCCGUCCCCGUGGGGUAAGUUUUCGGCAAGGCUCCGGCAGCGGGUGAGUCUGGGCGUGCGGAGAGGUCCGUGUGGAGCGAGGUGGGGGAGAGCCAGGCACUGGCCCCAGUUUCUCUUGGCCUGGAUGGGCCCCAGAAAUCGGGUCUAGGGUCUGACGGGACCCCCAGACCUGCUAGAUCCCCCCUCAGUGCAGGGGGGACAGUCAUCCGCGAGGCUGUAGCCGGUGCGCUGCCUGCUGAGCCUCGCGUUUAAACAUCAAGCCUUCCCGAGGAAGGAAAUUAAGCUGCAGGCACGGCGCAUUUAAUCUGCAGGCAGCGAUAAUCCUGUUUGCAAACACUCGGGCGAGGAAAGAACAGCUCCAGCGCUCCCGCGGGUUUACGCGGCUGGAAACGUGUUGCACAGAAACUAUCCUGCGUGGGGACGGAUGCUUUUAUCCCUGCUCCUAGGGCAAACCUCAUUUCCCCUUAUUUCCCCAUUUUUUUUUUAAACAGCAGUUUUGAGGGAGAUGGGUAGAACUGAGCUGUUGGGUGACAAGGAGAGCGCAGCAUUCUCGCUGGGACCAGCAUCAGGCCUUUCCUGUGCCAAACCCCAGUGCGAGGCAACAGCACCCCAAAAAGCUCCUCUGGGUGCCCAGCCCAAGCAGCUGGACGUCCUCUGCCCUCCUUGGUGGAGGAUCUGCCUGCACUGUGGUCCCUGGACCACCACCAUGAGCAGGGCCACCACCGUGCUGGUGGCUGAGGCCACCGGCCCCUGUCUGCAGCCCUUUCUGGGUGGCUUUUGGGGAGGUCCCCACCAUCGCAAGGGCUUUAGCCCACAAGGGCUGUCCUAGGUGAGGUUGUACCUGGGUGCACCGUGCCAUCUCGGCUCCCCGGGGAGGAAAACCUGGCUCACGUGGUGCAGCCGUGCCCAGCGUGUGUUGGCUCUUCCCCUGGAUUUGUCCUUCCCGCUCCAAGCUGGGGUAUUUUGCUUCAUUCGUGAGGAAUCGCAGCAGCAUCUUGGCACAACUGUCGAGAUUUCCGCAGCCUCUCCCACUGCUCCUGACGGCUGGUGAUUUUUUGUGCGUGCUCCCAGCCGUUCCGGGCUGCUCGGGAGGAUCUGGGAGCGCUGCGAGAGCAGUAUCGCAGGGACGGGGACCCCCCGGGCAGCGGCGAGGGGUGCUGGGGUGAACGAGGGAGGUGUCGGAGAGGUGCAGAUGGUGCGAAAGAGCUGCUAGAGGGAAAGGGAGGAGAAUUGCAGGAUGGGGCAGAGAGACCUGUGUUCAAGUCCUCUCCUUGAGCCUAAUUGCUGAAAUCAGGGUGUCUUUUAAAGACCUGUAAAGGAUCCGAGGCUGCUUAGAGCAUCGUUUCCUUGCCUGCAUCCUCUGGCUUAAGGCCAGGCUUUGCCAGGGCGGUGGUUCAGGUGGUCGGAGCCCUCCGUGCCCAGCGGGUGUUUUUGGUGGAGGAGCCCUGGCUGGCCCCAUCCUCUGCAAGGAUGCUCCUGCACGGGGGCCGGAGCAGCUCGCAGCCCUGCAAAACCGGCUCCCUUCUUUUCUCCCGUUGCUCCUUGUUCAGUUGAGCCAUGGUCCAGGCUGGGUCUCGGCGUGUCCCCUUGGUGGCUUGUCCCCUUCGUGGUGUGUCCCCUGCAGCCCCGCGCGUGGCAGGGAGCCGGGGCCAGGCUGGUGCCGGUGCCGUCGGCGGGAGCUCUUGCGGCAAAGCCGAGGCAGCCGAGCUGAAACGAGCCCAAGGAAUUAAAAGCACCCAGAGCAGAUGGUCGGAGCAGCCUGUCUCCCCGCCGCCGCCUCCUCGCUCUUCCCUUUCCCCAGUCUCUCUCCCGACUCCUCUCAUUUCUGGUUUCGCUUAGCCUGCGUCUUGCCUUGCUUCGCUCUCCCUGGGGGCUCAUCUGGGGCACCCGGCCCGGGGGGGUCCCUGCCCUGAGCAGACGCCCUCGAAAACUGCAACCUGGCGACCCCAAAGCUUCGUCCGCUGUGUUCCUGUGCUUGGAAGAUGAGGAUCCCCAUCUUUGGGAAGGGGGAAACUGAGGCAGGGAUGGGAACUGGGACCUGCUGGGUGUGUGCUGGGGGAGCUGGGAGCAGACCCCAGGCGUCCGGGGCUCCCCGCCCCAGGGCCUUGCAGCUCUUCCCGUGCUUUGUGCUCUUGGCUCCAGCUUUCAGGGCUGUAAAUCCCAGGCAAUGAAGGAGGAGCAGAGAGGGGGGUUAAAUGUCCAUCAGAUCAGCCUGGUCAGAUGGUUUCUACUUUGUCCAGGCUCCUUCUGCACCCCCGGGGUCCUCCCCUUGGUUUCCCCCCCAUCCCAGCUCCCCCAUCGAGAUCAGCCCCCCGGCUCUGCCCUGGGGAUGCGUUUCCAGGUGAUGCAGCCGAAACCGAGCCGCGAAGCCUUCGCUCCCGAUGGGGACGCAGCCCAAACGGCCACAGGGUUUGCGGUCCCUGCGCCGGCCUGCUGCCAAACACAAAUGUCCCCCCGCCGCGGUCCCUUUCUCGGAGGCACUGGCUGUGCCCUUCAGCCGGGCCCCGCUUCGGGGACGACAGGCUUGGCCUGGCUCAAAGGCAUUCAUUGCUUUGGGGGUGAUUUCUCUGUCUCUGCCCCCCCUCCGGGACGCUCGGCCUUUGCCAGCUUUGUUGCAUCUCCGAACCGCGCUCUGGCCGGUGCAGCCCGGGUGCUGGGGAGAAGGACAACGAAGCCGGAAUCGCAGAGGACUGAACAGGUACGAAACGAGCCCCCCAGCCACUGCCCUCUCCCCUCCAUCUCCCACCCGGCCGUGGAGACCCCCAUAAUGGUUCCUCUCGCUGGCCUGGCUGCACAGGAGCCAGGGCUCCGCUGUCACCGGCCCCGACGUGCUGCUGCGUGGGAGGCCGCGGACGGGAGCCAGGCUCCUCUCCCAGGCAGCCUUUCACAUGCCCUGGGGCCUGCUCUGUCCUUAAAGGGCAGCAAAACCCCGGCUUGCGCGGGGGAGCUCGGAGGACUGGGGGGCGAGAGGGAGGGGAGGGCCGUUCGGCCAAACCCACUUGUCUUCGCGUGGAUGAUCAUUUCCAGCUGAGCUGCUAGGAUGGGAUUUACCAGUCUCUCCGGACUCCUGCAGCAGCUCGGAGGGGUCCAAACCGCCGUCGGAGACCUCCCGCCGGCAGGCGAGACGCAGAAGGGCGGGUGGAAACGCCCGUGCGGGGUUGCAGCUAGAGGAUGCAAAGCAGCAACGCCUGAUGUUGGGGUUCAGCAGCCCCUGGUGUUGCACUGGGGUCAGGCUGAGGAAACGCUCCCGGGCGCAGAUGCUUUUGGCUUCCUUCGGACCAGGGGGACAUGUGGGACGCCGAAGGUUGGGUUUGGGCUCUGCCAUCCACGGCCGUGCCCAGGCAGCGCAGGGCGCUUGGCUCCGUGCACGGACUCGCCGGCUCAGGCAUCUCCCAGCCCGGCCUCGAGGACCUCUGAGAAAGGACACGGAGGCACCUGUGUGGCCGGUGUCACCCCUGAGAUCGUGGCCCUGCAGGUAAAAACGCUCGGGAGGAGGGGAAAUGCAGGUGGGAUCUUUGCCCUGUGCCGCCGCUCCCCGCCGUUUGCAGAUCCGCCCCAGGGCUCGGACGGGAGGUGAACCGAGGCUCCGGCUGUGAAGGUCUCCGGAGACGGAGAGCGGCUGUUUCUGGGACGAGACACGCGAGCGAGGAGAGCUCGGCAUGUGAUAGCACUGCAGUGCUGCAAAACACUCCCCAGCUGCUGGAACCAAUGCAACACCCCCCCGUGCUCCCCCAACGGACGUGCUGCUCCGUCCCUGCCCGUGUCCUUCUUGCCAGAUGGCCGAAUCCUGCUCCUCCAGGUGCCCUGGGCCCGGGAGACAUGAUCUCCAGUCCAAAAAUAGGAGCUCCCGCUCUUGCAGCCCCCAGCCUGGGAUGAAACAGCCGACAGCUGCCUGGCACUUUCCCCGCUCUUGGGCCCGAGAUACCUUGCGGAGUUGCCGUCCUGCCCUUGGAGGAACCGGGGGUCCGGGCUCGCGGGAGCCCUCGGAGGCGGCACCGUGCCUGCGCCAGUUCAACAGUCGGGAGCUAAUUCGGCCGGUCAGCGAGUGCAGCGGGUUGGGAUCUUUGGCUGGAAAACGCUGUGUAAGAGCUGGAAAUGCCUCUGCCCUGACUCAGGACGGCCUCUUCUUUCCCAGGCUCCUUUCCCUCCGCGUUAGCAGCGCAAGGCAGCGCUGGGCCUGGAAUAAACCAUGACAGAAAGUGGCUUUGCAGGCAAAGACACAUUUAGAAACCGGAGGGCAUUAUCCCCUUGGAUUAUUGUCACUUGAAUAUAGGUCAGCUUGACAGCUUAUGUGGAAAAUCGUCCUCCGAACGUACCGACAGCGCCACAGUCGCUUGCCCUGUUAAUCCCCCGCUGUUUGCACCCUGCCUGGGGGGCAAGCUGAGGCUCGGGAGCCCGUCCACCGGCAGAGGAGGCAUUAAGGUAAUAAAUCAGUUGUCCCUUCCCAAAGCUACAGGGAGGAAGGUGCUCCCUGAGGCCAGGGGGGGCUCGGAGGCAGGCGGGAGAGGGGAGAAGUAAAUAAAUAUCCCCAUGCUGGCAGGACCCUCCUGAUGCUCCAGACCACGGGGGACCAAAUCGGGAGGGCUUUGCUCCUCCCUGCAGACGUCUGCCCGUGCUCAUCAGUCUCUCCCGCGCUUCCCAUAGCUACGUCCAUGCAUUCCUGCAGGUCCCGCUGCCUGGCUGUGGUUCUUCCUAUCCCGGCAGGCCACGCUGGGAAACGCGGCCUCUCCAGCCGCCUUUCUGGGGGGGGCUGGCCGCUGCAUCGUCACCUGCUCCCUGCUAAACCUCCCCUCGGUAUUUUUCCUGUCCCGAAUCUGCAGCUUCUCUCCUUUAAAAAGGCUCCCGGGUGCCUCCCCCGCGCCGGGCCCCCUCCCCUGGGCUGGCUGCUGGUAGCUAUGAAUGAAGGGCUGGUGGCCCUGUGAUGCCAUCACCAUGGUGACAGAUGGCAGCCGAAAAUGCAGGAGAUCAGGGUCACAUGAGAGCAGCAGUAAACUCAGGCAGUUAUUUAUAGGCUGCUGCUUGAGCAUUUAUGGAAAUGCGUCUGUCUUCAGCCGUGGCAUCAACCCUUCGCUGGAUCUCCGGGGCAUCGUUCUUCCAGGAGAGACAUUACUCAUGCCCACGUUCCUCGUGCAUCCUGCGGUGGCUGCUUGGGCUGGCAUCGGAAAAGUACAGGGCGCUCUGAUUUUCUGUAUCCGAGCCCGAGUCUCUGGAGCAGCUCCCGUUGUCUCAAUAGGACAGACAGAUGCAGCCAUAUCCUAAGUUUCUUGCAUUUCCCUCUGGCAUCUUCUGCUUCUACCACUGGCAUCAUCUUCAGCACAGCAGCUUCUUCCCUUGGCCUGGCUAGUGUGCUGCUUUCAUGGCUACAAGUCAGACUUUGUCUUGGUUUGACCACGAGUGUGUGUUCGUGCUAGGCCUAGAUCCUGGCCAGUUUUAGCUUUGCUACAUCUGGGGAAACCUGUCUGUGCCUCAGUUUACCAACCUGCAGUGUGCUCCAGAUCAGCUGCAGCAAGGGUGGUUGUGUGGCUACCGAAGGGAUAUCUUUAAAUCUGUAGAGGAAUCAAGGCUAAAGAAGCUGCUUACCUUCCCAAAGUGUGCAAGGGACUUAAACAUGUGCACUGUGUUUGACUGGAGGUGUUGUAAAGCCAGUCGUGACCCUGGAAUUCCCCCUUCCCCAGCUCGAGCAGACUCACCCCUGCAUCACGCCGAGAUGUGCAGGAUCGGGAGAGCCGGAUGGCAAGUUCGGACCCUCUUGGUAAGGUCGCUCAGUCCUCCUCCGCUUUCAGCCUGGGUACUUGGAGGGCUUUAGCUGGUGGCGUUUGCAGCCAGCUGGCUCCACAGCUGCCCUUCCCCAGCCCUCCUGAGCGAAGGCGGCAUCCCUCCAGCCACAGAGGCAGCGCCCGGAUGCAAUAAAAAUCUGUCUUUAGCAAUUAGGAAGUUGCUCUCAUGCCUGCAGACAGCAAUGCCUCUUCUCCCAUCGCUGCCCUCUUCCCAGCAGGUCCGAGAAGCUGCUGACGCUGCUCUGCGCAGGAGAUGGCCGUCACCUUGCCGGGUCUCUGUGCGGGAGCAUCCACCUCGAGCCCAGCUCACGCCAACCCUGCGCAGGACUGAAUUGCUCCUGGCUGCACUGUGAUGUCUCCUGGCCCCUUUUCCUCGUGGCUUCGUCUCAGACCGCAAGCGCUCGCCGUGUCCUGGGCAGAAGCAUGGGAGAGGAGGAAGGACCAUCCUGGCAGAGGGAGUGACACCAGGCAACGCGCUGGCCGGGCGCGUUGCUGUCUCGCAGCUCGUUAGUUCCCGUCCAGGGCACUUGAUCCGCACCCGGAGAGCGAGGUCAGCUCCCGCGGGGCCCGGCUCUGGCUGGCCGCGGCGGGCAGGACCGUGCUGGUGGUGCUGUCCAAGGACGCUGCUGAGGUCGGGUCCCUUUGACUUUGGGGUUUCCUACUGAGCAGAGAGGGCCAAAAAAGCCGGUAGCUCUGCAGGAGAGAGCUCGUGUGGGAGCUGUGCUCCAGCCAAGGUGUAAAACCUCCCCCUGGGAUGGCUCAAAGUCUUGUCUUUCCUCCCCGGCUGGGACACGGUGUUCCUGGCUGCUGUGCAGCCAUUUCCUUGCUUCUCCUGUGAAUCAGAAGGUGGGAUGAGCACGAAGGAUUGCGACGAGAUGGUAUUUCUAAAGCAUGAAAGGAUCGAGGCUUUGGAGAGGCCGUGAGAGCCGUCCCUGCCGCCCUCCUUUGUCCCUGCAGGACCAGCCUCGCUGCAAAGCGAAGGCUCCUGCCAGGCUUUGAUCCAGCCACAAAGAUCCAGCAGUCGCUGGCCCCUCUCCAGGCCUCGCUGCUGCGUGUGGGGACAGGUGAGCACCCCGGAUCCGCGUCCCAUCACGCUGCUCGAUGGAAACGCAGGUCAGAAGUCUCGUUCCUGCCUGGAAAGCGAGCAGAAGCCGGAGCAGGGAUGCAGCGUUCCCUCCCUGUGAGGCAGCGCUUUACAUAACAUCUGAGAUGUGCGUGGUGCCUCUCUCCUCCCGGCUGGCUCAUUUCAGUGUGACUCCUUUGACUUCAGCGUGACAUUUGCCCCCCUCCUCCCACUACGGUGCAUCAGCCCUAGAUGAAGCGACAUCGCCACAAACCACACAGAUGCUGGGAACGCUUGUCUGCAAAACGGUGGCAGUAGGAAAACAGGAGCAAGGCACGCACCAUCUUCUCCUUCGCAGCACUUUAAAGCCAUGUUAAGCAGCCUUAUUCCUGCCUGACUUGGGGAUGGGAUGGGUUAAGGAGCAGAUCUAAUGGAAUAUAGCCUCAUUUCUCCUUGGCGGGGGGGAGAGAUAGGAAAAGUGUGACUGUUGCUUUCGCACUCUAGGUCUCCACGUAAGUGCUGGCCGAAGUCCCAGGUACCUACAAGAAUCGAUCCUUUUGUACCUAAUGAGCUGGAAAGAGAAGUGCAUGCAAAGGCCAGAAAUGUGCAUAAUUGAGAUCCAGGAGCUGGAAGAAGCGUGAUUUGGGGCUGGAGGUCUGAGUCACCCCUGGUUUCUCUCUUCCAAAUGUGUCUUUCCUCCUGCUGUGCUUUCUCACAGGCUUGGGUGGCCCAGGCACUCGCCACUGCUACCAGCAUCCCAGGCACCAGCAGCACCCGGAUCAGAGGAGAAAUGUUUGGGGGCUGCGCUGUUAGGUUUGGGUGGGCUGAGUUCAAGUCUUCAGGACUUGUAGACCUUAACUGAUUCCACCAGGCAUUGAGCCAGCAAUUAACUCCUUUGAAAACUCCUUCUCCUCACCAAGAAAUCAUAACAUCCCUCUGGCUUUCUUGAUUAACUCAAUUAGCUGCUUUUUGAGGGCAGGACUCACUAGGCAGCACUGAGUAAGAGUGGAGGGCUCAUCUCUACAGGUAUGUCUGGGCUUUCUGUUAAACACACCGCUGUAACUGCAUCAAAGCAGCCUAAAUGGCUGUGUGAUAAAUUAAUCCUGUGUCAGAA